rnacentral:tRNA from 1 species
AAAUAAGAAGCAAAUCUUGCAGUUAGUUUCGACCUAACCUUAGAUAUUAAAUUAUCCUUAUUUA